rnacentral:pre_miRNA from 1 species
AGGAGCAACAGCCCCAGUGGCGGGGCAGCUCUGGAAACCUGGAUUCAGCUCCGGCAGGAACUCCGGAGCUCUCCGUCUGCAGGGCCUGGAGGCUCCGGGGCGGG